GUGGGGAAUCUUGCGCAAUGGGCGAAAGCCUGACGCAGCCAUGCCGCGUGAAUGAUGAAGGUCUUAGGAUUGUAAAAUUCUUUCACCGGGGACGAUAAUGACGGUACCCGGAGAAGAAGCUCCGGCUAACUUCGUGCCAGCAGCCGCGGUAAUACGAAGGGGGCUAGCGUUGCUCGGAAUUACUGGGCGUAAAGGGCGCGUAGGCGGACAGCUUAGUCAGAGGUGAAAGCCCAGGGCUCAACCUUGGAAUUGCCUUUGAUACUGGCUGUCUUGAGUUUGGGAGAGGUGAGUGGAACUCCGAGUGUAGAGGUGAAAUUCGUAGAUAUUCGGAAGAACACCAGUGGCGAAGGCGACUUUCUGGACGAUGUCUGACGCUGAGGCGCGAAAGCUAGGGGAGCGAACGGGAUUAGAAACCCGGGUAGUCC
rnacentral:rRNA from 1 species